CAAUAGCGUAUAUUAAAGUUGUUGCGGUUAAAAAGCUCGUAGUUGGAUUUCUGCUGAGAACGACCGGUCCGCCCUUUGGGUGUGUAUCUGGCUCUUUCUUGGCAUCUUCUUGGUGAACGUUGCUGCACUUGACUGUGUGGAGCGCUACCCAGGACUUUUACUUUGAGGAAAUUAGAGUGUUUCAAGCAGGCAUACGCCUUGAAUACAUUAGCAUGGAAUAAUAAGAUAGGACCUCGGUUCUAUUUUGUUGGUUUCUAGAGCUGAGGUAAUGAUUAAUAGGGAUAGUUGGGGGCAUUCGUAUUUAACUGUCAGAGGUGGAAUUCUCAGAUUUGUUAAAGACUAACUUAUGCGAAAGCAUUUGCCAAGGAUGUUUUCAUUAA
rnacentral:rRNA from 1 species